rnacentral:rRNA from 1 species
ACUCAAAGGAAUUGACGGGGGCCCGCACAAGCGGUGGAGCAUGUGGUUUAAUUCGAUGCAACGCGAAGAACCUUACCAAGGCUUGACAUGGAACUGACAGCCCAAGAGAUUGGGUCUUCUUCGGACAGUUCACACAGGUGGUGCAUGGUUGUCGUCAGCUCGUGUCGUGAGAUGUUGGGUUAAGUCCCGCAACGAGCGCAACCCCUACGUUCAGUAGCUACCAUUAAGUUGAGGACUUUGAACGGACUGCCGCCGUAAGGCGGAGGAAGGUGGGGAUGAGGUCAAAUCAUCAUGCCCUUUAUGCCUUGGGCUACACACGUGCUACAAUGGACGCUACAAAGCGAAGCGAGCCGGUGACGGGGAGCAAACCGCAAAAAAGCGUCCACAGUUCGGAUUGCAGGCUGCAAUUCGCCUGCAUGAAGCUGGAAUCGCUAGUAAUCGCGGAUCAGAAUGCCGCGGUGAAUACGUUCCCGGGCCUUGUACACACCGCCCGU